CCUACGGGGUGCAGCAGCAGGGAAUUUUGCACAAUGGGCGAAAGCCUGAUGCAGCGACGCCGCGUGGGGGAUGAAUGCCUUCGGGUUGUAAACCCCUUUCAGGAGGGACGAAGCGAAAGUGACGGUACCUCCAGAAGAAGCCCCGGCCAACUACGUGCCAGCAGCCGCGGUAAUACGUAGGGGGCGAGCGUUGUCCGGAUUUAUUGGGCGUAAAGAGCUCGUAGGCGGCUCAGCAAGUCGGCCGUGAAAACCUGAGGCUCAACCUCAGGACGCCGGUCGAAACUGCUGUGGCUAGGGUUCGGUAGAGGAGAGUGGAAUUCCCGGUGUAGCGGUGAAAUGCGCAGAUAUCGGGAGGAACACCAGUAGCGAAGGCGGCUCUCUGGGCCGACACCGACGCUGAGGAGCGAAAGCUAGGGGAGCAAACAGGAUUAGAUACCCCAGUAGUCC
rnacentral:rRNA from 1 species